rnacentral:ribozyme from 15 species
UUUUUUUUUUUUUUUUUUUUUUUUUUUUUUUUUUUCAAAAAAAGAUGCAUUAUGUUUACAACAUUCGAAAACAUUGAUCAUGUGGAAAGAGAGCAUUUAAUCUUUCU